UAAAACCUAUUAGUAACGGAGCUAACGCGUGAAGUUGACCGCCUGGGGAGUACGGCCGCAAGGUUAAAACUCAAAGGAAUUGACGGGGACCCGCACAAGCGGUGGAUGAUGUGGAUUAAUUCGAUGCAACGCGAAAAACCUUACCUACCCUUGACAUGUCCAGAAGCCUUGAGAGAUUGAGGUGUGCCUUCGGGAACUGGAACACAGGUGCUGCAUGGCUGUCGUCAGCUCGUGUCGUGAGAUGUUGGGUUAAGUCCCGCAACGAGCGCAACCCUUGUCAUUAGUUGCCAUCAUUUAGUUGGGCACUCUAAUGAGACUGCCGGUGACAAACCGGAGGAAGGUGGGGAUGACGUCAAGUCCUCAUGGCCCUUAUGGGUAGGGCUUCACACGUCAUACAAUGGUCGGUACAGAGGGUUGCCGAGCCGCGAGGUGGAGCUAAUCUCAGAAAGCCGAUCGUAGUCCGGAUCGCAGUCUGCAACUCGACUGCGUGAAGUCGGAAUCGCUAGUAAUCGCGGAUCAGCAUGUCGCGGUGAAUACGUUCCCGGGUCUUGUACACACCGCCCGUCACACCAUGGGAGUGGGUUCCACCAGGAGUAGGUAGCCUAACCGUAAGGGGGGCGCUUACCACGGUGGGGUUCAUGACUGGGGUG
rnacentral:rRNA from 1 species